GUGGGGAAUAUUGGGCAAUGGGCGAAAGCCUGACCCAGCAACGCCGCGUGAAGGAAGAAGGUCUUUGGAUUGUAAACUUUUGUCCUAUGGGAAGAAGGAAGUGACGGUACCAUGGGAGGAAGCCCCGGCUAACUACGUGCCAGCAGCCGCGGUAAUACGUAGGGGGCGAGCGUUGUCCGGAAUUACUGGGCGUAAAGGGCGCGCAGGCGGCCGAUCAAGUUAGAUGUGAAAUACCCGGGCUUAACCUGGGAACUGCAUUUAAAACUGGUUGGCUAGGAGUGCAGGAGAGGGAAGCGGAAUUCCUAGUGUAGCGGUGAAAUGCGUAGAUAUUAGGAGGAACACCAGUGGCGAAGGCGGCUUUCUGGACUGUAACUGACGCUGAGGCGCGAAAGCGUGGGGAGCGAACAGGA
rnacentral:rRNA from 1 species